GAUCCUGGCUCAGGAUGAACGCUAGCGGCAGGCUUAACACAUGCAAGUCGAGGGGCAGCGCGGGUAGCAAUACCUGGCGGCGACCGGCGAAAGGGUGAGUAACGCGUGAGCAACAUGCCCGUGACUGGGGGAUAGUCGAUGGAAACGUCGCGUAAUACCCCGUAACACAAGGAAUCGCAUGGUUCUUUGUUGAAAGAUUUAUCGGUUUCGGAUUGGCUCGCGUACCAUUAGCUAGUUGGCGGGUAACGGCCCACCAAGGCGACGAUGGUUAGGGGUUCUGAGAGGAAGGUCCCCCACAUUGGAACUGAGACACGGUCCAGACUCCUACGGGAGGCAGCAGUGAGGAAUAUUGGUCAAUGGCCGAGAGGCUGAACCAGCCAUGCCGCGUGCGGGAGGACGGCCCUAUGGGUUGUAAACCGCUUUUUUGAGGGAGCAAUAAGGCGUACGUGUACGCUGAUGAGAGUACCUUGAGAAUAAGCAUCGGCUAACUCCGUGCCAGCCGCCGC
rnacentral:rRNA from 1 species